CCACGGUUCGCUAUUCUACGGAUCAGCCACGCACAGCCGACGAGCACGGACGGCGACGAACCGCAGCCAGGGCCGUUCCAACGGUGCGUGUCGGUCUGUGUAGAUCUUUUCAAGCUUCAUUUCAAGAUGCAAAGUGAAAGAGAACGUAUCGUCGCUGUAGCUGCCGCUUUGAUUAUAUUAAAUGCGAAUAUUACCAAUGAGCGAUCGCGUAAAAUUAAAAAGAAACCUCGCUGGUGGAUGUCAUGAUACAACAAAAGUCGGUCAAGAUAUAACGGAACUGAUAUGCUCUUUAAUAUCCAAAAAGAACCAAGCAACACAUUCUUAAAUUUUUGUAGGAUGACUUUAAGUGAUUUUGAAUACCUAUUAAAUAAAAUUGGCCUAGGUAUAUCAAGGAAUGAUACCAAUAUGCGAAAAGAUAUUCCAGUCCAAGAACGGCUUGCAAUUCCACUGAGAUUUUUGGCAUCUGGAGAUAGCUACAGAAGCCUUAGUUAUCUUUUGAAAGUCUCCAAACAAACAAUUUCAAGAUGUGUCGAUGACGUUUGCGAAGCCUUGGUGGUAGAAUUAAAGGGAGAAAUAAAAUUACCUUGGACGGAAGCAGAAUGGUUAAAAAUUGAAAACAAUUUCAACAGCACAUGGAAUUUCCCUCAUUGUCUUGGCGCGAUUGAUGGGAAACACGUGAUAAUACUAAGCCCCUGUUACAGUGGUUCGUAAUAUAUCAACUAUCACGGAACUUUCAGCAUUGUACUGUUAGCUUUGGUUGACUAUAAUUUCACAUUUGUGGAUUGCGGAUGUCAAGGCAGAAUAAGUGAUGGCGGUGUGUACAGAAACACAGAAUUGUAUAAAAAAAUAUCUAUAAAUGAACUGAAUUUGCCAACAUCAAUGAGUUUGCCUCUCAGGGUCGAACCACUUCUUUACGUGUUUGUGGCAGAUAGUGCGUUUGCUCUCACUGAAAACAUGUUGAAGCCGUAUACCGGUCUUAACGCUAAAGGGACGAAAGAACAAAUUUUCAAUUAUCGGUUGUCGCGUGCUCGAAGAAUAGUAGAGAAUGUUUUUGGCAUCUUAUCGGCUGUUUUUAGAGUACUAAGGAAACCGUGUCUAUUAGAACCACAAAAAGUAACCAAUAUUGUAAUGACACGACAAUAUUGUUUAUUACACACUUUUUGAGGCGAUCUAAACAAUUCCGAAGUGUGUACAAUCCACCCGGUACUUUUAGAUAUCGAGAAUGCUGGCGUAGAAAUAGGGAAAUCGUUCGGAUGGGGAACAAGUUUGUCAGCGAAAGUACUAAGCCACUCAGAUGGAUUGUUGGAGUUUGGAUAGCCAAACAAUAGAAGAAGGCGAUCUGGGGAUAAGUGAUUCACAGAACAUAGUCCAGCCAAGCUUUUUCUUUUUUGAUACCAUCCUUUUAGUUUUAGCAUCAAUACGUUUAUAUUUCAUGAAGUUCUCUUCUGCUAUUUGGGCUGUGUACUCUUUCUCUGCUGCCACUCUCUCAUUGAACAAGUCUUUGCAUUCCCCAUCCCACCAGUGAGGGGAAGGCAAAUUAUAAGAGACAGAAAGAUUUUUACGGGGAAUAUUGGAAUAGGCCGAAGAAAUAAGAGAUUUGACAAACUGUUCAUAGUCAUCAUCAUAGUAAAGAGGUUACCAUCACACUGAAGAUCAGGAAGGGAGUCCAACAAAUCAUCCACGGUUUGAGCAUAGCGAGACCAAUCUGCGUUUCGCAAUUUAUAUUUUAGUAAGGGGUUAGGAUUGGGGAGAGGAAUUGACCUAUUAUUUAGAGUAAGGAUAAUAGGGAAGUGGUCGCUACCAUAGGUAGUAGGAAGAUUUUGCCAGGAUAGCUGAGAUGCAAGGGAAGUUGAAGAAAGGGAUAGAUCUACUGCCAAUUUUUGGUUCUGAUUGGGGUAAACUCUGCGGAUCGGAGAGCCAUCAUUCAGGAUACAAAGAUUUAUAUCCUCAAAGAUGUCAACCAACAACGGAGCAAACCCGUCACAGUUGUAACUCAACCACAAAGUGUGGUGUGCGUUAAAAUCACCCAUAAUCACAGUGGGACUGGAGAGAGAAGUUAGAAUAGUUUCAAUUUCUGGAAUAAGGGAGGGGCUUGGAUGUGGAAUAUACAAUGAGAGGAAGGAAAUGUUUACAGCUCUCACAGCAACAGCAUUAAUCUGAUUACUGUGAGGGGGGAUUGGAAUAGAAGAAAAAGAAAUGUAUUGCCGAAUGAAAAUUGCAGAAACCAGGGAUCCAAAAUCGGGCUCCAGGCCUCAGCCAUGUCUCCGAAAUGGCAAUUAUAACAGGGAUAUGAAGGUUAAUUAAUGAUAUAAGAUCCUGUUUCUUAGCACGGUUUCCUCUGUAGUGCACUCAUGAUCCCACUAAGGAGGAAAUGGAAUUUUACCUUGUGUAUUACCUCGUAAUGUAAAUAAAGUGUUAGCAGCAUCAAUUA